rnacentral:rRNA from 1 species
AUGGUUCGAUUAUGGCUCAGGAUGAACGCUGGCGGCGUGCUUAACACAUGCAAGUCGAGCGAAGCACUUAUGAUUGACUUUUCGGAGGAUUUCAUUAGUGACUGAGCGGCGGACGGGUGAGUAACGCGUGGGUAACCUGCCUCAUACAGGGGGAUAACAGUUAGAAAUGACUGCUAAUACCGCAUAAGCGCACAGUACCGCAUGGUACAGUGUGAAAAACUCCGGUGGUAUGAGAUGGACCCGCGUUUGAUUAGCUAGUUGGUGAGGUAACGGCCCACCAAGGCGACGAUCAAUAGCCGACCUGAGAGGGUGACCGGCCACAUUGGGACUGAGACACGGCCCAA